rnacentral:rRNA from 1 species
UACGGGGGGGGCAAGCGUUGUUCGGAAUUACUGGGCGUAAAGGGCUCGUAGGUGGCCAACUAAGUCAGACGUGAAAUCCCUCGGCUUAACCGGGGAACUGCGUCUGAUACUGGAUGGCUUGAGUUCGGGAGAGGGAUGCGGAAUUCCAGGUGUAGCGGUGAAAUGCGUAGAUAUCUGGAGGAACGCCGGUGGCGAAGGCGGCAUCCUGGACCGAUACUGACACUGAGGAGCGAAAGCCAGGGGAGCAAACGGG